rnacentral:rRNA from 1 species
UACGUAGGUGGCAAGCGUUGUCCGGAUUUACUGGGCGUAAAGAGCGCGCAGGCGGUCGAAUAAGUCGAAUGUGAAAGCCCCCGGCUCAACUGGGGAGGGUCAUUCGAUACUGCUCGACUUGAAGGCAGGAGAGGGUAGUGGAAUUCCCGGUGUAGUGGUGAAAUGCGUAGAUAUCGGGAGAAACACCAGUGGCGAAGGCGACUACCUGGCCUGUUCUUGACGCUGAGGCGCGAAAGCUGGGGGAGCAAACGGG